rnacentral:tRNA from 5 species
GCGCCCGUAGCUCAGCUGGAUAGAGUACCUGGCUACGAACCAGGCGGUCAGAGGUUCGAAUCCUCUCGGGCGCACCA